rnacentral:misc_RNA from 1 species
UGAUCAGAUGCUUUGCUGUUAACCAGCCAUGGAUGAACUUCGUCACAGCUUUACUAGCAGGAAUUGUCUCACUCUAUGGAACCUUUGCUGGGAUGACAAAUGGAACAUUACAAGGUCAUCUUGUACCUUUGGGAGAUCCUAUAUUAAAAGCUAGCCAACCACCGGUUAGAUUAACCAAGUUAUGUCCAACAUUUACCUCAAAACGAACUUCUGCUAUACUAAAAGCCGCCAAAAUAUUAACUGAUGGAGGAAUAGUCGGUGUACCAACCGAUACAGUAUAUGCACUAGCAGCUUCUUGCAAGUUACCAAAUUCUAUUAAAAACAUCUACACAGUCAAAGAACGACCGUCUGAAAAACCAAUUUGCAUUUGUUUGUCAAAUCUAAAGCAACUGGAGGAAGCGAAACCCGAUUUCUGCGAUCUUCUUUGGGCUUUUAUGCGCUUGUGCUAUCCUGGUAAAAUAAGUUGUGUGGUACCAAAAGGCGAAUGGUUGCUAAAUCUAGGUCUUGGUGAUGCCACGGAGUAUAUUGGAAACAAAGAAAGUGUUUGUAUUCGGAUUCCUGACUCUUCGAUUUUGGCUUAUCUCACACAACUGACGGGUCCCGUCGCUUUGAGUUCGGCUAACCCAAGUGGCGGAGAAGACAGUAUACAUCAUGAUAUGGUUCUUGAAAGUCUAGGCCACAAGAUUGAUGGAAUGAUCUGUGAUGGAGAAUCUCGAGAAACUGCUCCGUCAACAGUUGUAAACUGUGUAAAUAUCAACAAAGGUGAAAUUUCCUUCUUCAGAAUUGGAUGUGCACCACAAGACCAUGUUGAAAAUCUGUUUGAAGAAGCCAAAAAAGAAAUCAACUUCAAACCACAAAUUAUUGUGGAAAAGAAUCUCAAAUAAUUUCAGUUUCUGAAAGAAAAUAACAUCCAGGAUUUAAUAAAUCUUCCAUUUUCGAAAAUUUCGAAAAUGACCAAAGAAUAGAACGAAAACAUUAGUAUAAUAUAGAAAUGCAAAGAAUGAAGUAAAUAGUCUGAACAUUUCAAACCUCUCAGACCUUUCCAUUAAAUAUCAAGAAUAAUUUUAAAUUGCAUUGAUAAUAACUUUACAUUUUUUGUGGUAUCAU